GCAAAAAAGACACCAACAUCUACUAACAGAGGAAGUCGACUGAAAUUCCGACCGAAAUCUAAGCUAGCACUCAAACCAGACGACUUUAAUGAGUCGCAUCGUGUCGAUAAGGACGAUACAAAUGAUGAAACUUCGCUUCUCCAAAGGUGCAAGACUAUAGAGGCGUCUAUUG
rnacentral:ribozyme from 1 species